UGGGGAAUAUUGCACAAUGGAGGGAACUCUGAAGCAGCGACGCCGCGUGAGUGAUGAAGGAAUUCGUUUCGUAAAACUCUGUUCUAUGGGAAGAAAAGGACUGUACCAUAGGAGAAAGCUCCGGCUAAAUACGUGCCAGCAGCCGCGGUAAUACGUAUGGAGCGAGCGUUGUCCGGAAUUAUUGGGCGUAAAGGGUGCGCAGGCGGCUUUACAAGUUGGAUGUGAAAUAUUGUGGCUCAACCACAAACGUGCAUCCAAAACUGCAAAGCUUGAGUUAAGGAGAGGUAAGUGGAAUUCCUGGUGUAGCGGUGGAAUGCGUAGAUAUCAGGAGGAAUACCGGUGGCGAAGGCGACUUACUGGACUUAAACUGACGCUCAGGCACGAAAGCGUGGGGAGCAAACAGG
rnacentral:rRNA from 1 species